CACUUGUUUGCAGGUUUCCCGGUCAGUCCGUCUGAUGCUGGAGUCGGAGUCGCGUCUCUGUGGAUAAUCUCAUCGAUCUGUUCUUCUGAUUACAUCGAUAUGAAGGCGCUAAUAGGGCUGCUGCUGUUGGUCUUUGGUCACGAUGUGUCCUCGGUGAUUCACUCUCUGCAGUCUUUCGACACGGCGUCGUCUGGACUCUCAACCUUCCCAGAGUAUGUGAUGGUUCUGAUGGUGGAUGAGGUUCAGGUUGAGUACUAUGACAGCAACACCCAGAGAAUCAUAACCAAACAGGACUGGGUGGACCAGGCCAACAGAGACAAAGACCCCGACUACCUGGAGAGGGAAACUGAAAGGAGAAAGGGUGACCAGCCGGUCUUCAAAGGCAACAUUGGCACUCUGAUGAAGCGCUUUAACCAGACAGGAGGUGCCCACAUUAUUCAGAACAUGGAUGGUUGUGAGUGGGAUGAUGAGGAUGGUACUACUGAGGGUUAUGAGCAGUAUGGUUAUGAUGGAGAGGACUUCAUAUCGUUGGACCUGAAGACCCUGACCUGGGUCGCUCCAGUACACCAGGCUUUCGCCACCAAACUGAGAUGGGAUCACGAUACAGCUCUUAAUCAAUACGUGAAGAACUACCUCACCAAGGAGUGUGUUGAUUGGCUGAAGAAGCUCCUGGCCUACGGGAAGAGCACUCUGCAGAGAACAGAGCGUCCGCAGGUGUCUCUGCUCCAGAGGAGCCCCUCCUCCCCAGUGGUGUGCCAUGCUACAGGCUUCUACCCUAACAGGGUGGUGGUGUUCUGGAGGAGAGACGGCCAGGAGCUCCAUGAGCAGGUGGACCCCGGGGAGGUCCUCCCCAACCACGACGGGACCUUCCAGGUCAGCGUGGACCUGUACCUCACGGCCGUCCCGCAGGAGGACUGGGGGAGGUACGAGUGUGUGGUCCAGCUGAAAGGCAUCGAGGACAUCUCCACCCCCCUGGACCCCGCCCACAUCAGGACCAACGGGGGGGACAAUCACAUCCUUGCUUUCAUCCUCACUGGAGUUGCUGUUGUUGCUGCUGUUGCUGUUGUUGUUGGAGUCUUUCUGUACCAGAAGAGGAACGAUUCAGACAAGCGUCACAAACCAGUUGGUUCUGUAACCAGCUCUGAGAACACUGAGGGGCAGAAUCCGUCUCCUGAGGCCCAACCUCUGACCACAGUUCAAAGUUAAAUCAUGAAGAGGCUUCUCACGUUCACCUUCAGACACGUGCCGUCCAUAUGGGCAGGUGGAGCAGGGUGAAGAGAGACAACACCAUCACCAGCGACAUUCUCCUAAACUGCCAACACACUAAAUGGCGUCCAAUGAGUUUGACCUGUAAUGGUCUGUGUCCAAAGAGCGUCUUGUUCCAGCGUCUUGUUCCAGCGUCUGAUUUCCUUCUGUGCGGCCGCUCCCAGCUUCUGGUUGAAAACAUCUCAACCUUUCAGAAACACGCUGGGGUCACAAAGUUACACUAACGAAUCAUAAUAUAUGAGAUGGGCGGACUGGUCUACCCUGUAAAGUUUGAAACUGGUGUACAAACUUGUUCCAGCGAUGUCCGUAUACCCGGAUAUCAUCAUGAACUGUCAAUAGAUAAUAUAAAGGCCUGUGUGUGAAUCACAAGCUGAGCAGGAAGUUCUCUACGAAUAGUCAAAUAUCCUAACCUUUAUGCCUCCUUUACUUAACCUUUGUGGAAAACGUCAUCGGGUCAAGGGGAGAUGAAAAGGUGCUUCCUUUGGAACAUAGAAAAGAACAGCACUGUUUAAAAUGAAUUCGACUCCACUUUUCCUAAACGACGUCAUUGCGCGACGACGAGCAUAGCUGACCUCUAGCGUCUCUAGCGUGGAACUAAAGUUUACCGAAGUUGGACUACAACAAGCGCUCUGUCGAUCCAUGCAUUCUUAUCGUAUUGAUUUCAAUCAGGUUGUCACCAACAGUGAGAAUGACUUGGGUCGGAUAUGGGCACACACACACACAAACUCCACAUCUACGUUGUUUCCUGGUAAAAGAGGACCUAAAUUGUGUAUAUAUCUUGUCACAUGAGUCUUCAGCAGUAAUUGAUAAAUGUUCAGGCGCAGUAAACCGAUAUCCCGCCCGCGUCGCCUCGUCUGAACCAACGCGGGGAAGAGAGAGUCACUUUCUCUUUCAGAAGACCACGUGAUUUAUUUGAUAUCACUACUGAUGACCUAGAAAAUAAACAAACUACAUUUAUAGACUAUUGGUCAAGACCUAUUAAUGAGACGCCUACAUGGGUUCUCCAAUGAUAUACAAAUUUGAAGCGUUCAUGAGCGAAAACAUCCCACAAAAUAAUAUCUCAUAAAGCCGCCCCAGCUUGACAUGAGCCACUCUGGCUCAGGUGAGUUAACCCCUCCCACUUUAUGGCUUAGUUGAGAUAACCCCUCCCACUUUAUGACUCAGAAGGGGUAAUCGCUCUCACUUUAUGACUCGGAUGAGGUAACCCCUCCCACUUUAUUGGUCAGCGGAGAUAACCCCUCGCACUGUCGCUCUGCAUCCACAGGCUGUGACUGCCCUCUAGUGGAGGAAAUGAAAGCAGAGGAAGACGGGGUGGUGUACAGUAUUAUGAACAAAUGUUGCUAUUUUAGAUUAUGCAUUAUAAUGCUUAUAAUGCCACUGUUACUGAUAGUUACUGAUGUUAUUAUCCAGCUUUUGUUGUUAUGGGUGUAUAAUUCUCUAUGUAAUCUAAAUCUACAGUGGGUUUAUAAAAUAACCAAUGUGAAGUUACGAAUACAUUAGAGUUACACGUAAAGCAGCUGUUGCUGUUUUAGGUGGAUAAUGUGAUUGCACCAAACAAUUAAAUAAAUUAAGAAUUUUAAAACA